CAGCAGGCGCGAAAACUUUACAAUGCACGAAAGUGUGAUAAGGGAACCCUUAGUGCUUUGCUUAUGCAAGGCUUUUGCCAAGUGUAAAUACCUUGGAGAAUAAGUGGUGGGUAAGACGGGUGCCAGCCGCCGCGGUAACACCUGCGCCACAAGUGGCAGCCACUUUUAUUGGGCCUAAAGCGUCCGUAGCCGGUUUUGUAAAUUUCUUGUGAAAUCGUCAUGCUUAACUUGACGACGUGCAGGAAAAACUGCAAAACUUGGAACCGGGAGGAGUUAGAGGUAUUCUAGGGGGAGCGGUAAAAUGCUAUAAUCCCUAGAGGACCACCCGUGGCAGAGGCGUCUAACUAGAACGGAUUCGACGGUGAGGGACGAAAGCCAGGGGAGCGAUCCGGAUUAGAUACCCGAGUAGUCCUGGCCGUAAACGCUGCGAGCUAGGUGUUGCAUAAUCUUAGUGAUUGUGCAGUGUCGAAGCGAAGGUGAUAAGCUCGCCGCCUGGGAAGUAUGGUCGCAAGACUGAAACUUAAAGGAAUUGGCGGGGGAGCAC
rnacentral:rRNA from 1 species